UACGUAGGGUGCAAGCGUUUAAUCGGAAUUACUGGGCGUAAAGCGUGCGCAGGCGGUUGUGCAAGACAGAUGUGAAAUCCCCGGGCUUAACCUGGGAAUUGCAUUUGUGACUGCACGGCUAGAGUGUGUCAGAGGGGGGUAGAAUUCCACGUGUAGCAGUGAAAUGCGUAGAUAUGUGGAGGAAUACCGAUGGCGAAGGCAGCCCCCUGGGAUAACACUGACGCUCCAUGCAACGAAAAGCGUGGGGGAGCAAACAGG
rnacentral:rRNA from 1 species